GAUGAACGCUGGCGGCGUGCCUAACACAUGCAAGUCGAGCGAUUCUCUUCGGAGAAGAGCGGCGGACGGGUGAGUAACGCGUGGGUAACCUGCCCUGUACACACGGAUAACAUACCGAAAGGUAUGCUAAUACGGGAUAACGUAAGAAAUUCGCAUGUUUUUCUUAUCAAAGCUCCGGCGGUACAGGAUGGACCCGCGUCUGAUUAGCUAGUUGGUGAGGUAAUGGCUCACCAAGGCAACGAUCAGUAGCCGACCUGAGAGGGUGAUCGGCCACAUUGGAACUGAGACACGGUCCAAACUCCUACGGGAGGCAGCAGUGGGGAAUAUUGCACAAUGGGCGAAAGCCUGAUGCAGCAACGCCGCGUGAGCGAUGAAGGCCUUCGGGUCGUAAAGCUCUGUCCUCAAGGAAGAUAAUGACGGUACUUGAGGAGGAAGCCCCGGCUAACUACGUGCCAGCCGCCGCAGUAA
rnacentral:rRNA from 1 species